GCACUUGAAGCUUCAACAGCCGACUGUUCUCUGCAGUCAGUGGUGGUACAUUGGUAGCGUUCACAUCAACGCGUGGUAAACGGUCGACUUUUUUCAAUCGGUGGCGCUUUUUCCAGUCUUCAACUAACAGAAUACAGCUGGCCUGGUGAUAGAGCCUGCCCAGAAACGUUAUAGCUACUAACACCGCAGAACACAGAAAAGAAGAGGUUUCUCGUUUAUCAGUCAGUGACAAGAUAAGAAGAAGGAUUUCCUGUUCUACAAUAAUUAUUUUCGGUUGCGGUCAAAGUUGUGUGUGUGCUUGUUGCGGAUUAUACUGUGCGAAUUUAGCAGGUGUUUCGGGUAUUUGUGUGGAAUAGUUGUGAAGCAGAGUGAUUGGAUCUACUGUUUGCCAAAAGGAUGAGCGUGGAAGUUUUGGACUGUUAGUGGCCAAUGCGUCAUGUAGCUGACAACUAGAAUAUUGGACUACCUAGGGACAUCGUAUGAUGGACAUAAGCCUGGCCGAACCUUACCGACUAGAAGAACCCAACUUUCUAGCAUCAUAUUCACCUGCCAACUAUUUGGACCCGUUGAACCAAGAAUCAUCAACAUUUGGAGAUGCUCCCGCUACAAAGUCAAAGUCAUACAUCGCGCAGUUGCCGCCAGGUGUCGGACCGUUGGCCGGUACGAUUACGCUAAUAUUCAUGGCCGUCGGUAUAUUCGGCAACCUGCUUACUGUGGUCGCCCUACUCAGGUGCCCGAGGGUCAGGAACGUGGCAGCCGCAUUCAUAAUCAGUUUAUGUAUUGCAGAUUUCAUCUUCUGCCUGACCGUUCUACCGCCGAGUGCGAUUAGCUUCAUAAAUGGCUCCUGGUACCCUGGAGAGCCACUAUGCACUCUCAUGCCAUUUGUACGUUAUGGCAAUGUGGGAUUUUCAUUGCUUUCCAUAGCUAUGAUCACAAUAAAUAGGUAUAUAAUGAUUGCCCACCACUCAGUAUACGCAAGCAUAUACAGGCCCAAGUAUAUAGUGAUAAUGCUGGUAUUCUGCUGGCUACUGAGCUUUGGAAUGCAGAUACCAACGGCUCUACAAAAGUGGGGUUUAUACGCUUAUGAUGAGUAUGUGGGUACUUGCUCCAUUAUGGAGGACAAGGAUAAAAAAUCCUCGAAAAAGGCUCUAUUUAUUAUUGGGUUUAUUUGCCCGUGUCUAGUCAUUAUAUGCUGUUACGCAAGAAUAUUCUGGGUUGUACAUAGUUCAGAGAAGAGAAUGCGUCAACAUGCAGCAAAAAAGCCAAAAAUUAAAGAUCAUGGAACAACAAUAAAGGAGAGAAGAGAAGCCAAAGCCAAGCGCAAUGAAUGGAGAAUUACCAAAAUGGUUCUUGCAAUAUUUCUGUCAUUCAUCAUUUGUUACCUACCAAUUACCUUGGUCAAACUUUUUAUAAGUAAUUCUUAUCCAUUUCUCCACAUGCUUGCCUACUUACUACUCUACGCAUCAGCAUGUAUAAAUCCAAUAAUCUACGUAAUCAUGAACAAGCAAUACAGACAAGCCUAUCAAACAGUAAUGAUGUGUCGAAGGCCAGGAUUCUUGUCUGGGAUCCCCGGUCAAGGAUCAAGCUAUGGAGGAGAGAUGAAUGCUGUCAAUGUCCAUAACAGCACAUGAUAUUCGUUCAUAUUGUAUGAAUGCAAAGUUACCAUUAAGACCAAAGAGGCAAGCCCAGUCAAGAUUGAUAAAUCAAGAGAUGAGAAUAAAACGAUGGUCUCUCACGUGUCUAUCGCUAUGACUCCUAUACGAUUGUCAGAUCUUCAACAAGGGAACGACUACAUCUAAUAUUUGUAUUUUCAAAACUGAAUCACCCGGAUGCACAAAAGCCUGUCAAAUUUUAACCAUGAUCAAAUGCUACGAGAACCAAUAAGAGAAGCCUUCAUUUCAUCAAAAAAGCAUACUAUGAUUGGUUGUCGUGGCAUUUAAUCAUGAUUCAAAUUUCAUAAUCUUCUUUGCAACCGGGCCAAUGUGUUCAAACAAGUUGAUAUGAAUCAAUCCAGGUAUUAGAUACCAGAAACAUGUAUAUAACAUAGAUUAUUCUAGAAUAGGUUGUAGUUCACUAAGGACCGCAUACACCAUCUCGGUUCUAACGGAUAUAAAUUGAUCAGCUAUUGGCUAUAACUAGGAAUGUAAUCCAUCACACUAAAUGCGAUCAUGUAAACUUAGUUUAUUCAUGUAAAUUAUGCUAGAAUUUAUGAUUCAUGCAAACUCAAACGAACAUAGAUGGUGCGUAUGAGUCUAAUGAUUAUUAUGUAAAAAUUGGAAUUGAAGAAUAUUUGUAUCAAAGACAAAGUACAAAGAGUAUGAUAAGUUAGUUGAGCUUUUUCCAAAGAAUGUAGGGGUAGAGAAACUGACUUUGUGAUAAGAUCUCCUAAUAUUUUUAAUAAUUAUUAUCAAAUGAUUUAUUUAUCUCCAAAUAAUUUGCUUGUUUAAUUCUCUUGUCAUACACCUUUCGAACUUUUAACCACUUUUCUAGCAAAUAUUUUUAUAUUUGAUUGUAUUUGAACCCAAGAGAUUGAGAUGGUUACAAACUACCAGUCAGCGAAUUCAUCUUCAUUGAUUUGAUAUAAUAUUAUGUGGCGAACAGAAAGAUUCGUGGAUAAUUUAUCAAUACUUAUUAUAAAGUAGAUGAAGUAUUGCUCAAGAAUGUGAUACUUUUUUCUAAUAAUAAUGUAAACAGUAAACACUUUUCCAAAGCUCUAAUAAGUCACAAAAAUAAAAAUUUAGUAGGAUAUUUCACGUUAGGAAUAUUUAUUUAAUGCUUGAUUUUAAAAUGUAUGUGGUAUAGAUAUCAUUAUUGUAUUUUAUAAGGAUUGUAAAUUUUUGUACAUAAUAAUUACACUGAAUUUAUUACAUGUUAUUAUAUCAAACACCAUGGGUUACCAUGUUUUAUUAAAUGUGCCAUUGAUACUGAA